UGAUGUUCAUGUCUGCAUCAUGUCAUUGUCUGCAGGAUCCGCAACUGUCGCUGGGCUUGGAGUGAUAUAUAAAUAAGUCUGCGGCUAAAAGAGCCUCCCGCCCCCCCAAUCAGGAUUUGAAACAUCUUCUGAAUAAACCAGGAAGGCGCUGCCUUUUCCAAUAAGAACCAAACCUCUCCCACAAGAACAAUCCCUGUUUGCAGGAGUGUGUAAUUUCCACCUCAGCAGGAUAGCUCUCUACCUUCUCUACCUGCUCCUAGACACCCAACUCAAGGCUGGGCUAAAGCAAAGUACAAUGCCCUGGGAAUCACUUGUUUCAGACAAAUAAAACAAGGACAGCAAUGGAACUGAUCCAAAGGAAAGGAAAGGAAAGAACUUUUGUCAGGUGAUGCUGUACCUUGCAAACAACAGUUCCCACUUCUUCUGAUAAAUGCUAAAUGGAGAAUUUAUCUUCCAUCUUCAUAUUUUAUCCUUAACAGCAAUCUCUGGUUUCCUUAGAAUUAAGCCUCCCUAACAGCUAGGGCAUAAUUAAAUCAAUGGAUUCUGUAUUCUUCUCUCGAACUGGAAGGGAAAUUUCACUGUUACCAGAAGAAACAGUGAGUAUAGAUACAUGGCACUCCACACAAAACAGGAAAACUAUCCAAGGUGCUGAACUAUGGCAUGAUGUUCUUCGGUGUGCACUACCUGCAAAGCAGACCAUUCUGACUCUUGGAACCUUCCAGGGUUCUCAGCACUCCAAGGACAGUGGCAUUGGUGUAACAAACAUGUUAUCAGUAUGUAAAGUUUAUGUUCAAAAGACACCUUUGGCCUGCUAAACACAAACUAAUUCAGUUACCCUGGGCAGGGGGCAGACUAGCAAAUGCAGGCUGCCCUUGAGACAUUCAUGAGUAGGGGCACUCUUUUUGAAAGGGAUGGGGAAAUCCCAUCUUUCCUUUUGAUCCUUCAACCUCAAGGGCACAUAAUGAAAUAAAGAUCCUUCUGGCUGGGUAGUAGUCUUCAGCUGAGCCGGUCUUAGCAAGACCAGAAUCAGUAAGAGGAAGCACUGCAGAAUAAUGGGGAAAGUGCCCUCAUGUUCUCCUUGAUAGUUUGAGUGCUACUUCCUCAAUGCCCCCAGUCCUGCCAGGGAUCACAUCCCAGUCAUGAAUAUAAUUUACAGCAUUCUCUUAAACCAUGGUGACACCCAAUCGUACCUUGAUUUCAUUCUCCAAUUGACAAUACCAGAUUGACUUUUAAUACUUUACAAACAGAAGGGGAGUAUGGGGUGCCCAGAAGUAAAGAGUGUAGCACCAUGACAAUAAGGUCUAGGACUUUCUUUACCUGGGGUCAGAUUUUCCAGAGCAGAGCAUGCAGUGGCCCCCAUUAAGAACUGAGCUGUUUCUAUGUAAUUAAAUCACUGCUGCACAUUUCUUUAAAAAUGAAGAACAAUAAAACAAAACACUAGUUACUUCUGAUGAGACAAUAUAGAAAUCAGAAAAUCCAGAGGAUAGAGCAAUAGAAUUUACAUGGAACUGGAUAAAUUAGGGGUACACAUGAUGUAGUGGUCUAGGAGCUGUUCAGGGUGGCAAAGUGUAAGCUAGUGAAAGGCUCUAAUGGAGAAAUGAUGUUAAUUGGUGGUCAGCGCAGGGGACUGGGAGUCUUGAUUCCUGGGUUCAAGUCCUAGAUUUGCUGCAGGACUAAGGCUGGUCUGAAAUUUUUCAUCUAAAUUAUAUAUAUUAUGUUUUUCCAUGAACAUUUUCAAGGUUCCCCUAGCUCUGUGUGUCAUCCUGAGCAAGACACUUUUCCUCUCCGUUCCCAUUUAUCCAACUUUAAAAUGGGUCCGAUACUUACCUACCUCACCAGGCUGUUCAGUAGGGAUUUUAAAACAUUGAGACUAUGUAUUAAAAAGACAUUAUAUAAAGGACAAAGCAGUAUUAUAAAUAAUCAGAAAGACUAUAAUUUAAGAAGAAGCAUAAAAGGUACAAAUGUGCAUUCCCUUUGACAAUGGUAUGAGGGGUGUGUGUUACAUUAACACUCACAUGCAAGAAGGACAAAAGCUGCUAGUGAUUAAUAGAUAUGGCUUCAAUUUAUAGAGAAUCUGAACAUACAGGCCGUCAAACCAACAAAAUGGGCCACGUGGUGUAUUACUGUCAUCUCAUAUGCAUUAUGUUAAUAGCUGUACUUUACAUGUGAUCUAUAACCAACUUGAACCUCAGCAGAUUGAAACACCUGGUGUAG